CCUCGAUGCAGUAGCAAUACCCGCUGAACUUAAGCAUAUCAAUAAGCGGAGGA
rnacentral:rRNA from 1 species